rnacentral:lncRNA from 1 species
CACCUUACAAUCAUUCCAUACAACAAAUAUAGUAGACCUAUUGCAUAAAGUAUGAGAAAAACAGACCAAAACACAAAAUCUUAACUAUAACCACUGAACCAUGAAAAUGAGGUCAAGGUCAGAUGACACCUGCCAGUUGGACAUGUACACCUUACAGUCCUUCCAUACACCGAAUAUACUAGCCCUAUUGCUUAUAGUAUCUGAGAUAUGGACUUGACCACCAAAACUUAAA